GGCAUGGAUUAGGCAUGCAAGUCGAACGGUAUGUACCUUUCGGGGUACAGAGAGUGGCGAACGGGUGAGUAACGCGUAGGUGAUCUACCUUCAAGUGGGGGACAACCCGGGGAAACUCGGGCUAAUACCGCAUGUGGCAGUGAUGCUAAAGCCGGCCUCUGAAUAUGCUGGUGCUUGGAGAUGAGCCUGCGUCUGAUUAGCUAGUUGGUGGGGUAACGGCCUACCAAGGCGAUGAUAAGUAGGCGGCUUUAACGAGUGGCCGCCCACACUGGGAUUGAGAUACGGCCCAGACUCCUACGGGAGGCAGCAGUCGAGGAUAGUCUACAAUGGUCGAAAGAUUGAUAGUGCGACGCCGCGUGAACGAAGAAGCAUUUCGGUGUGUAAAGUUCUUUUCCAUGAGAGCAGGACAUGGGUGGUUAACAGCGACCUGUGUUUGAUAUUAUUAUGGGAAUAAGCCACGGCUAACUCCGUGCCAGCAGCCGCGGUAAUACGGGGGUGGCAAGCGUUGUCCGGAAUUACUAGGCGUAAAGGGCAGGCAGGCGGUCAUAUGAGUUAAUCGUUAAAGACCCGUGCUCACCAUGGGGAGGGCGGUUGAUACUGUAUGACUGGAAGCGAGUGGGGGAAGAUGGAAUUCCUGGUGUAGCGGUGGAAUGCGCAGAUAUCAGGAGGAACACCAAAGGCGAAGGCAGUCUUCUACGCUUGUCUUGACGCUCAACUGCGAAGGUGCGGGUAUCAAACAGGAUUAGAUACCCUGGUAGUCCGCACAGUAAACGAUAAUCACUAGGUGUCGGUGGGAUAUGCCUGUCGGUGCCGUAGCUAACGCGAUAAGUGAUUCCCCUGGGAGUACGAUCGCAGGCUGAACUCAAGGGAAUUGACGGGGGCUCACACAAGCGGUG
rnacentral:rRNA from 1 species